rnacentral:rRNA from 1 species
UGGGGAAUUUUGGACAAUGGGGGAAACCCUGAUCCAGCCAUCCCGCGUGUGCGAUGAAGGCCUUCGGGUUGUAAAGCACUUUUUGCAGGAAAGAAACGUCAUGGGUUAAUACCCCGUGAAACUGACGGUACCUGCAGAAUAAGCACCGGCUAACUACGUGCCAGCAGCCGCGGUAAUACGUAGGGUGCAAGCGUUAAUCGGAAUUACUGGGCGUAAAGCGUGCGCAGGCGGUUCGGAAAGAAAGAUGUGAAAUCCCAGAGCUCAACUUUGGAACUGCAUUUUUAACUACCGGGCUAGAGUGUGUCAGAGGGAGGUGGAAUUCCGCGUGUAGCAGUGAAAUGCGUAGAUAUGCGGAGGAACACCGAUGGAGAAGGCAGCCUCCUGGGAUAACACUGACGCUCAUGCACGAAAGCGUGGGGAGCAAACAGG